UAAACCUUGGCUGAUUCCAUCUCUAGGUGCCAUUUCACAGAAAGAUCAUGAGAUAGAAUCCAAAAAGCACUUGAGGUUCCCUGUGCUGCUCUGUGGGAUAUGGACAUGCAGUCCCAGCUGGAGCAAGUUCUCCAACAUCCCAGAGCAGGGGCACCACAAGAGCCCUGUGCUGCUGCAGGUGUCCUGCUUUCCACUUUUCAGAGGCCCUGUGGCCAAAAUGCUUGUGAGCAGUGUCUGACAAUCCCAUUUUGGGUAACUUUUGAGCACCCAGAGCUCUGCUGCACACUCCUGAAAUAACCUCGGUGGCGUUUUCCAAGUUUGUACAAGUUCUUCUUGUGGCGAGACAGCAGCAGCUCCUGGCUCUGCUCUACCUCUGUCACCAUCCGAGGUGACUCUUGUCAUGCUGAAGGUUGCUCAGGCUCCCUCCCAUCCCCUUCUGUGCUGUGUGUGGACAGCUGCAAGGGGAAGAGGCACCUUUUUUCCAGGUUUGUGCUAUCCUUUUGCAGCUCAUUCUGUGAACUCUGCUAAAAAUAACCUGAAGCGGCAGCAGCGGCGAUUACUCAGCGCCCACGCUCAGCCCUGUCCCUCCCCACCCUGCCAGCAGGAUGAUGCCAAAGCACAGAAGGACAGACCUGGUGUGCCUGGGCCAUCACCAAGGACUCUCUGAAAAGCAGGAAAUCCAGGAGUUCCUCAAAAGAGUCAGGAAGUUCUCAGUUGGUGGUGUGACUGAUGGAUGGGAUGCCUCGAGGAUGGAGUCACAGCAGAGGCAGCGAGGGGAUGGUUUGGGCCAACCUGGCCCCAUUCUGGGACUUUCUUGCUGCUUUUGUAGCUCCAGCUCAGCUCCCUACCAAGGACAGCUGGUGCAUUUCACAACCUCUUGUGUUUUCUACCUUUCAAGAGCAGUUGUGGUGCACAAGUCCCUGCAGGCCCCAGUUCCUCAGGGUGUUUUCCCUGGGAAUGUCUGCAAGAUCCUUGUGUUGCUUAGGGCUGGGGAAGAGUCAAUGCUCACAGUGCAGGGGAUGAGGCUGUUUUGAAUUUGCACUGAAAGCAGGGUAAACCAUGGCCACAUCCCUAACACCAGGUGCUGAUCCAAUGAGGGAUGGGUACAAGGAUGGAUUUUUUUCUCAUCCUCCUUGGUGGUGGUGGUGGUUAAAAGCCUCUCUGGGUACAGAUCCCCGUUCCCUCCUGUGUUCUCUAAAUUUUAAUUGCCAGGUUAGUUGAAAUUGGUCCUUGUUCAGCUGGGGAACAGCAACUGAAUUGAGUGGAAAAAUGGAAGCUCUCAUAAUUGGGGUUUUUCAGCCUGCUCUGCAGCCAGCUUGGCUGAGGGGUGAGCUUGUGCUCCCUGAAGGUGCCAAGGAAUUAUACAUGGAAGUAAAACACCCAAUUAGUGAAAUCACUUCAUCAUGAAAAGCAGAGGAGUGGAAUUGCAGUGCUGAGUGUGCCCACACUCUCUCUGGGGAACGGGCUGAGGGUUCUGGGGUGAUAAUCACAGAGCACAGUGAGAACUGGGGAAGGCAAGAACUGAGCUCUCCCAGCUCUGCACCAUAAAAGAGACCUUUGAGACUGGAGCAGGGAUGAGCUCUGCCACAGACACCAGGCAGGCUGAGCCUGGCUGGGGCUGUGCAGGAGAGGGAGAGAUGAGACUUUUCCCCAGGUCUGUGUAGCUUCUGUUGGUUUAUCCUGACCAGGUGAAGCUUGCAGGCAGGUCCUUCCCUGCAGCGUCUUGCAAGGGCAUGAAGGAAUCCAGGGCAGGGACACCUUCCCCUGGCCCAGGGUGCUCCAAGCCCUUCCAGCCUUGCCUGUGUGUCCAGUGAGGGUCCAGGCUGAGAGCAGGACCCACACCCUGGUCAAUGCUGGACACCACUAAUCACAGCCUCUUAACGUGAAGAGUUUCAAAACAAACAAGUGAGUGCUCUGCUCUGUGCAUGUUUGCAUAGCUGCUGCUGCUUCCUCCAGGCCUGCAAAGCUGUGGAGCUGUGGGGAGAGGCAGAGGUACCUCAGCAAAUCCCCUCCCAGCCCACUGCCCCUCUCCUGUGGCUCUCAGCCUGCAGUGUUCUGGCCAGACUGGCCAGGCUGGGCAGGACUGGGAGCAGAACAUCUCCAGUGUGCUGUGGUGCUCCUGGAAAUUUCCCUGACGCUGCAGGGACUGUGGCCACUUUAACAUUUGGCUUUUGCAGCCUAUCACUGGUAAAGCUCUGAGUUCAAACUGGCUGCUCUGCCUUGUCAGCUGAAGGAAUCAAGUGGGUUUGCUGCUCCAGCAGUGCCUGACAGCUGCCUGGCCUGUUCCUGGCUUUGCUCUGUGUCCUUGGCAGGGCUGGGCUAUGGCGAACAGCAGCUCCUGAGCUCUUCAGAAACACAAAUAAAUGCCUGUUUGAGGAGCAGAGUCUCUGAUGAGCUGCAGACUCUAAUGAAUAAUUGAAGAGGGGUCAGUUUACAGGACUUGCACACAAGAAUGCAGCAGAGGCUGCUCCAGCAGCCCUCCCACAGGGUCCCCGAUCCAUCCAAACCGCUCUGGCUUCUUCUCUGCCAUUUCCAUCCCCCUGGUGAGUUCAUAGAAGCUGCCUCAUGUUCUGUCUCCAGAAAGCUGCUUUUAUUGAAGGAAAAAAAACCUGAAAAUCUG